rnacentral:rRNA from 1 species
UACAUGGGGUGCAAACGUUGCUCGGAAUCAUUGGGCGUAAAGCGCGCGUAGGCGGUUAUUUAAGUUGGCUGUGAAAGCCCUCGGCUUAACUGAGGAAGUGCAUCCAAAACUGAAUAGCUAGAGUACGAAAGAGGGUCGCGGAAUUCCCGGUGUAGAGGUGAAAUUCGUAGAUAUCGGGAGGAACACCGGUGGCGAAGGCGGCGACCUGGGUCGAGACUGACGCUGAGGCGCGAAAGCUAGGGGAGCGAACAGG